AAAAUAUGAUAUCGUAGUGUAUUUCAAAUUUUAUUCAAGAAUUCAUAUCUUAAAUGAAAAAUUAAACAAUACUGAAAGAGAUUUGAGAAACUUUCGUCAACUCCUAUGACAGAAGAACAUAACUCUUAACUAUUGGUGUGUUAUUCAAUCUCAUACUGUGUUAAAGGAAUGUUGGUUUGUAGACGGCAAAUCGUAGUAUUGAACAAGAAUUAUCAUUUUCUCAACCUAUUAUCUUGUUUCAAC
rnacentral:lncRNA from 1 species